rnacentral:lncRNA from 1 species
GUCCUGGACUCAGCCCUUCACACACAGACAGUGCUGCCCCUCCUGGUGUUGAAGGCUGAAAGGAGUCAGCGUGGAGAAAACACGGGCUGUGCCAUUUGCUGGUGCUGGGCCUUGGUCAAAUCCACUCACACCCUCUGGGCCUCAGUUUCCAAACCUUUAACACGGGACUCAAAGCAUAUGACAUGAUGAAUGUUAGAAAAUGGAAUGAAAUAAUGUCGGAGAAGCACCUAUCUCAGUGCCUGCUUCCUUUCCAAUUCCCCACCCUAGUGGGUCCCCAGGUUCCUACCCCAUGGGACCCCCUGUGGGGUUGAGGACAGUAACUCAUUGGCAGUUUAGCAAUAGCCAAGCAGAAUUAGCCAAGGUCUCUGCGGGGUUGGGGAGGGAGGAGACGGGAGUCAGGGACUGGGAUGGGGGUGGGGAUUGCA